GACGAACGCUGGCGGCGUGCUUAACACAUGCAAGUCGAACGGAAAGGCCCUGCUUUUGUGGGGUGCUCGAGUGGCGAAAGGGUGAGUAACACGUGAGUAACCUGCCCUUGACUUUGGGAUAACUUCAGGAAACUGGGGCUAAUACCGGAUAUGAGCUCCUGCUGCAUGGUGGGGGUUGGAAAGUUUCGGCGGUUGGGGAUGGACUCGCGGCUUAUCAGCUUGUUGGUGGGGUAGUGGCUUACCAAGGCUUUGACGGGUAGCCGGCCUGAGAGGGUGACCGGCCACAUUGGGACUGAGAUACGGCCCAGACUCCUACGGGAGGCAGCAGUGGGGAAUAUUGCACAAUGGGCGGAAGCCUGAUGCAGCAACGCCGCGUGCUGGAUGACGGCCUUCGGGUUGUAAACCGCUUUCGCCUGUGACGAAGCGUGAGUGACGGUAAUUGGUAAAGAAGCACCGGCUAACUACGUG
rnacentral:rRNA from 1 species